rnacentral:rRNA from 1 species
UACGUAGGGGGCUAGCGUUGUCCGGAAUCAUUGGGCGUAAAGCGCGCGUAGGCGGUCAGGUAAGUCCGGUGUGAAAGUCAAAGGCUCAACCUUUGAAUGCCGCUGGAUACUGCUUGACUUGAGUCCGGAAGGGGCGAGUGGAAUUCCGGGUGUAGCGGUGGAAUGCGUAGAUAUCGCAAGACACCAGUGGCGAAGGCGGACUCACUGGUCCGGUACGC